rnacentral:rRNA from 1 species
UACAGGGGGGGCAAGCGCUGUUCGGAAUUACUGGGCGUAAAGGGUUCGUAGGUGGCUUACUAAGUCAAACGUGAAAUCCCUCAGCUUAACUGGGGAACUGCGUCUGAUACUGGAAAGCUUGAGUGCAGGAGAGGAACGCGGAAUUCCAGGUGUAGCGGUGAAAUGCGUAGAUAUCGGGAGGAAUACCGAUGGCGAAGGCAGGUCUCUGGGCUGACACUGACGCUCAUGCACGAAAGCGUGGGGAGCAAACAGG